ACAGUAAACGAUAGAUGCCUGACAGCAAAGCGCAUCAAAACUAUGACUUUUUGUAAUGCAAUCUGACCUAGUUUAAAGCUGUAUUAAUCUAUUCUGAAUGACACUUAAAAAAUAGGGCUUGUUUUAAAAUCUAAUGUAUUUGUUUUAGAUACAUAAUUAGGGUCAAGUUAUAACUACAGAUUUUUAGCUUGAUGCCUGGAUUUAUAUUUCUGAAAACUACAUUAUGUGCCCGGGGAUUGCCAUUGUCUACAUCGGUGGAUGCUAUGCUAAGAUGGUCUUACAUCUCUAGAUGGAAAGUUAUGAUGGGUGAACCUUAAUAUAUACGAUGAUUGGACAUCAACAAGCUUGUAGAAAAACUAAACAUUCCUUUCUAUCGUCAUUGGAUUCCUUUUACGGCAAUUUAUAUAUGCACUUGUAUUGGACAACCUUAUAGUAGGAAAGAACUUAGUAUGGAUAUUGAUUAAUUAAAACUGGAACUGAUGGAAUUAUAAGUACGAAUAUCAAAUAUUAUGUUUUAAUGUUAGACUCUAUAAAAACUAUGUGUAAAACAUAUAAAGUUAAGAAUUGUUGUCAAUAACUAUAAAUUAAAACAAGAAAUUAAUGUAGUGAUUUUUUCAAAUUAAAAUCCCUUUGAGACAAAAUUUCCAAGCAUUGGAAUAUUAAGGAUUUAGUGAUUGUCUUCUAAAAGCUAAACUUGUUUAGUGAGAAAAACCUAAAUGUGAUAAAAAUUGGGUAAGUAAUUUCCCAGCAAAAAAGCUUUUUAAAUUUGUAUUUGCUAGCAAAAGUUAAUA